AUACGGAGGAUCCGAGCGUUAUCCGGAUUUAUUGGGUUUAAAGGGUGCGCAGGCGGCCAUUUAAGUCAGCGGUUAAAUCGUGGGGCUCAACCCCAUUCUGCCGUUGAUACUGGGUGGCUUGAUUGGGUCGAGGUUGGCGGAAUUCGUUGUGUAGCGGUGAAAUGCAUAGAUAUGACGAAGAACACCGAUUGCGUAGGCAGCUGACCAGACCGCAAAUGACGCUCAUGCACGAAAGUGCGGGGAUCGAAUAGGAUUAGAUACCCUGGUAGUCCGCACAGUAAACGAUGAGUACUUGUUUUCGGCGAUAUAAUGUCGGAGGCAAAGCGAAAGCGAUAAGUAUUCCACCUGGGGAGUACGCCGGCAACGGUGAAACUCAAAGGAAUUGACGGGG
rnacentral:rRNA from 1 species